GAUGAACGCUAGCGGCAGGCCUAAUACAUGCAAGUCGAGGGGUAUGGGUUGCUUGCAACCCAGAGACCGGCGCACGGGUGCGUAACGCGUAUGCAAUCUACCUUAAUCAGGGGGAUAGCCCGGAGAAAUCCGGAUUAACACCGCAUAACAUUGAGUUGUGGCAUCACAGUUCAAUCAAAUAUUUAUAGGAUUAAGAUGAGCAUGCGUGACAUUAGUUAGUUGGUGAGGUAACGGCUCACCAAGACCACGAUGUCUAGGGGAUCUGAGAGGAUGACCCCCCACACUGGUACUGAGACACGGACCAGACUCCUACGGGAGGCAGCAGUAAGGAAUAUUGGUCAAUGGGCGCAAGCCUGAACCAGCCAUGCCGCGUGCAGGAAGACGGCCCUAUGGGUUGUAAACUGCUUUUGUACCGGAAGAAACCUUCUCUUGCGAGAGAAGCUGAACGUACGGUAAGAAUAAGGAUCGGCUAACUCCGUG
rnacentral:rRNA from 1 species